rnacentral:lncRNA from 1 species
UCAGAAAUAAAUUAGACAGGUUAAACAGGUUAAAUGGGUUAUCUGGCUCAACUCAAUCUGGAUAUUAAACGGAUUAAAUGGAUCAGAUAUCUAAAACCCAAAUCUGACCCAAUUAUUAAACAGGUUAAACAGGUCGAUCCGUUUAUGACCCAAAUCCGUUUAGCCUCAAUCCAAACCUAUUUAUGGUGGGUCGAACAUGGAUCGGGUUG